rnacentral:tRNA from 1 species
GAGGGUAUAGCUUAAUGGUAGUGUGUGCUUAGCAUGCAUGAGAUCCUGGGUUCAAUCCCCAGUACUUCCA